rnacentral:rRNA from 1 species
GUCCUACGGGGCGCAGCAGUGGGGAAUAUUGCACAAUGGGGGGAACCCUGAUGCAGCAAUGCCGCGUGGGUGAAGAAGCACUCCGGUGCGUAAAGCCCUGUCAGCAGGGAAGAAAAUGACAGUACCUGACCAAGAAGCCCCGGCUAACUACGUGCCAGCAGCCGCGGUAAUACGUAGGUGGCAAGCGUUGUUCGGAAUAACUGGGCGUAAAGGAUGCGUAGGCGGUUAAACAAGUUAUAUGUUAAAUAUAUAGGCUUAACCUGUA